rnacentral:rRNA from 1 species
GACGAACCGUACGAACGUUAUUCGGAAUCACUGGGCUUAAAGGGUGCGUAGGCUGUGCGGAAAGUUGGGCGUGAAAUACCUCAGCUUAACUGAGGAACUGCGUUCAAAACUACCGUGCUGGAGGGAGACAGAGGUGAGCGGAACUUAGGGUGGAGCGGUGAAAUGCGUUGAUAUCCUAAGGAACACCGGUGGCGAAAGCGGCUCACUGGGUCUCUUCUGACGCUGAGGCACGAAAGCUAGGGUAGCAAACGGG